AAGGUAUCACUGUGUGUUCGCAGUUUUAUGAAAACUCCUGUGAACACAGCUGGUGGUAUCUCUA
rnacentral:pre_miRNA from 1 species